GAGACAUGGUCGCCUAUCUCAAGAAUGGAUCACUCUCCUAGCUGCAUAGCUAUAUGAAAGACCUAAUCUCCUAUCUAAAGAAGAUACCUCUUUCUUAGCUUUCUAACUAUAGGAGAGACCUAAUCCCCUAUCUGAAGAAGAGACCUUAUAGAUUUCUAGCAAGAAGAGAGACCAAGAUGACUAGCUAAACAAGAAGCUAUCUAGGAAAAUCACACCUUAUACCACAC
rnacentral:lncRNA from 1 species